GGGGAUGCUGGGUUUCGAUAGAGAGACUAUCAUUUUGCAUUCGAGAUGAGUUCGUGGGAGUCUCAUAAAAACUUUCACACCUAAAUAAGUGCAAAAAAUGUACUAGCAAAAGCUAAAGCUGCUUUCAGCAUGCCAGCUUUUGCACCUGUUGUCGCUUAAAAUUGCCACAACCAUCCGACUUCUUGAUGUCUAGUAGGGAAGACCCGGGUGUCAUAUCACUAGACUGGACCCGAGUGUGCGGUUAACUUUGGUCGAGAUUUAUCAAACUGCUCGCUGUUUAUUUUUUUGUUUGGUUUUUAGAUAAACAGUUAAAUCACAAACUAAUCUAGUCUUCGUAAAAUUGUAAAAUGUAACUUUCUAGACGCGAGUUCAACUCUCGCCAUCUCCACAA
rnacentral:tmRNA from 1 species